CAGAAAGGGACCCAAACGGCGAAGUUUGAUGAUCUGCAAAGCAGAUAAGCAGGUGAGGUAAAAGCGCACACAGAAGUCUGCCAUUGCCAACAGGUAAGACGGACAAUUGGGAGAACAGGUGUCAGCCAAGAUGACAUUACUGUGCCCUUUCUGGACUUCUUGAGAAACACUGUUGCCAAGUGCUUUAGGGUGAAGCUGUAAGUUGACCCACAUCAGUCCAACUCCAAAUCCCAUGUUCCUGACAUGCCCGGGUGGGAGUCGGGCCCUUGGAGAUGGGAUCCUGCCUGUCUCCGGGAGAACCAGGAACAAAAACAGGAGUGGUACAGAAGCAGGAAGCCCACAUGCUGUA